GUCUAUGGCCAUGCCACCCUGAACAAGCCCGAUCCGUCUGAUCUCAGAUGCUAAGCAGGGUCAGGCCUGGUUAUUACUUGGAUGGGAGACCACCUAGGAAGACCAGGUGCUGUAGGCG
rnacentral:rRNA from 1 species